UGCAGGGAAAGCUACAGCUUAUUAGCCGGUGUGGACAUAACUGAUGAUUGACAUUCACAUUCGACCCUUGAGCUCUUCAGAGAAGGACAAGAGUAUAUAAAACAAUCAGCUACCUGGAGUUUAGAUUCCUGGCCUCAGCUGGGACUCAGACAUUAACUAUGCCAUCCAGUGGAAAAAGAAACCACGCUCAGUAAAUUCUACAGCUUUAAAUAUCGUAUUCCCCGAAGGGAUUAUGGUGGACACAGGUUCAGGCUCCAGAAAUAAAGCCUCAGGACGGCCACGGAGGAGACUCAGCCUGGUGACAAUCCCUGACAGUUUUGCCCAGAGCACUUUCUUCUCUGGGAUAAGCUCUCCCUCUGAGCCCGGGAAGGACGGCCCGUCUGCUUUUGCUCAUCAGGCUUUACCUGAGGUCUCUUCCUGCCCUUCUCAGCUCCCAGUCUGGAUGCCGUCCUCCACUGAGACUCUGAGGCCAGAAUCGAGUCGUCAGGCAGCUGACCUGUCGCCUCAGUUUCCUCAUCUGGAGAAUGGGUCUGACUGAUUUACAGCAAGAACAAGAACCCUUCAGGGGUUUUGUGAGGGAACGUGAGUUAAUACGAGUGUGUUCCAUUUAUCAUGCUGCUUGGUAUCUUAUGGACGCUCCAUUAGUGAACCGGUACAGUCUCAGGAUUUCUUGCCUCAUAAUUUAAACUUUAGCAACAAUAGAAACACUUGUCUGCUCCUACACACACGUGCACACGCGCGCGCGUAUGCACACGCUCGGCUCUGCCUUUUCUGGCUUUUCCCUCUGUGCAGCUGCUUGUCCCCUAUUUCCCUAAGCCCCGUCGUGCAUUACGAGCCGGCUCAGGACCCUUCCCUACAAGGACCCUCCAUCUGAACUGGGCCAGGAACCCGUGUGGGCUCCAGAAACCACCGCGUCUGGUCUGCUGGGGCCUUGCUCACGCUUGUCGAGGUUAUCCAUCCCCCUGGAAUCCUGGGACUUGGAAAGGGCCGGGGCGGCAGGAUCCUGACGAAGCUGGGGUCCCCCCCACCCCCGCUGGCCCGAAACCGGCCGCAGGUCCCCGCAGGCCCCGAAGGCGAGGUGCCCCGCGCUCCCACAGAAGGGCCGGCUUUCCUGAUUUGCACAGAGAGCAGGAACGAGUGCGGGCGUGGGGUGGCGGCAGAAGGGCCAGACCCUCGGGUCACGUCGGAUUUAAGGACGCGGCCCAGUAAGCGGAGGCGGCGGGCCGGGUGUUUCGUUCGUCUCGGAGGUCAGACAGGGCGUUGGGUUGGUUAGUUUGGCGAAAACGUGGCCCUGACGCGGUGAGUAUGAAAUGAAGCGAAGCGCCCGCGCGCCCUGGAGGAAGGGAGCCGGGGCCGAGGGAGCCUGCGUGUUGUUAGGGUGGCUUUCCGGCUGAGACCUGCUCCCCGGGGGGGAGCCUGCGUGUUGUUAGGGUGGCUUUCCGGCUGAGACCUGCUCCCCGGGGGGGUCCAGAGGACACACCUCUCUCCGCGAGUGCGGGAAGCGAACCCGCGGGGGGAGCCCUGCGUCCUGGGCGAGCUGGGACCACCCUUCCCCGGAGGCGGGAGUAGCUGGGGCCCGAGGGGCUGGGGCCCGGGGCGCGGAGCUGCGACAGGUGAGGCGGGCGGGGCGACCGUGGCGAAGGAGGGCCAAGCAGGCUCGGGACGGUCCGCGCGCAGAGACCCGGGGCGCCGGCGGGCCGUCCCGGAGCCCCUGGAGGGGAAACGGGGGACCCCACGGGCUUCUUGCUCGAUCUGCACGGGCGGAAAAGCUUGAGGUCGAGGGAACAAAGUCUAAGCGGAAUGAUGAACACAGAGUCACGGCCCCUCAGUCAGUUCUCAGACCCGGAGCCCCUUGAAUGGAGGGGAGGCCCGGUCCCUUUAAGGAAGGACCCUGGUCCACUGCAGGUAACGUACAGUUCCCCUCUCUCCCAGCCCUGCGAGGAGGACACGGCCCUUUACCAGCGUGACCGUGCGCUGGGGAAAGGGGAAGAAUCAGACAUCUGGGGACUCGUGGACGCCGGCUCGGAACCGAGGCUCAUUCGAGGAGACCCCAGACGCGCCGCGGCCGCCAGUCAGGGUAGGGGCUUCUGGAGGGCAGGUGGUCAGUGGGCUUUAGCUCGGGUCCCUCUCACAGUGGGCCCUGGGCCCCCAGACCCGUCCUGUGGUUAUCAGCCCGGGCCUGGGAUGCGCCCCCGGAAGAGACGCUCUCAGCCGCCGGCAGAGUCCCCAGCUGGGCUCAUCCAGCGCAAUGCCGUGCCCGUCACGGGUUCUCAAAAAAUUGUGGGACAGAAGAGCGCCAACGGGGCUGUGAUGUUUUUGAAACGAUGGCGCGCACGGGGGCCCGUCGUCGCCCCUGAGUUUUGCUUGUGGCUGGCGGCUCAGCGCUGUCUGAGUGUCUGUCCUGGCUGCUGUCCUGCCUCGUCUCGCCUGAUCUGGGCGCCACCCUCGGCGAGGCAUCCGUGGGGCCUCAGCGGCUCGGCUCCACGGAGAGGUGGGCUUCCUUCCAGAAGCUGCAGUUGCCACAGCUGCUGCCCUACCCUCACGUCUAACCCUCUCAUUCAUGUUUUUUGGAUUCUUCACCGUGUCCCCAAACCACCCCUGUUAAAUUAGGUCAUCUUAGAACAUUUGCUGCUCUUCUUCUCAACUACUUGGGAAGAAAAGAUUCUGAGGCUAUGACUUCACUCGGGUUCCAUGUCCUCUGUUUACUGCUCCCUCUAUCUUGAUGUGGGGACGUCACCCCAUAUUUUUAGGACACAGUCUACACAACAGUGACACGUCAUUUUGAACUCCUGUGCGGUGGCUCGGGGCUGAGACUGAAUUCUCCUGUUUCAUCGUAAGGCCUGGCCAAGAGUAAACAGAAACUUUAAACUGAAAGACGGCAGAAUUUAGACCUCAAGAUAUGUACAAGGUGGGGAAACUCACCUUCCACGCCAGUCACAUUGGACGAAGG